CAUGUUAGAACAUCUGACAGUAAAGAUAAAAGGUAAGCCUUAGAGAAUUUUGGGUAUACUGUGACUGCUUGGUACGUAGGUUUAGUGCCAGACAUAUCCUUUAUUUAUGCUGUGUAUGUAUACACAUUAUUCUGAAGUCAAACUUCAGGAAAACGUGUGUGUGGGGGUGUCCAUAGGUACCACUGUUGGCCCUUGGUGCCUUAGCCUGGCCAUACUGUGGAGGCAACAUGCUGAACCUUUGGGAGGAAAGGCUACACCUUGAACUGCCCAACAUCUAGCCCUCUGGCUCAAGUAAAAAGCUGUACGAAUGGGCUUGGGAGGAAAUCUCAGCUAGACUCCAUUCACAGCUGAAAGGAUGGUCACUGCAAUGCGGGGAAAAAAGGGGUCUCUAAGAGCACUGACAAACUUCCCCAGAAAAGGUUCUGUUCUCUUCCAUAAAACCCUGAAAAUAACCUUAACAGCAGAGCUGGUAGUGAAGUCCUGUUUAAAAUAUCGUUGUCCUGAAGCUUGCCACAGCUCUCUAUUCCCAAAAACUUGCCACAUGGAUUUCUUAGUGCUGCUAAGGUCCUUAACAGCCAGCUGUAUCGAGCAGGAGCUGCAAUUCACAGCAUAGGUACUGGCUAGAACUUCUCCAGCAGCACCAAUGAGCAAGAAAGCAGACCACAGGUUUCUGCACAGUCCACACUUCUGAUCUAGACUUAGCACUGCUUAGACCUAGUAUUAGCAUGGCAUUACUUGACAACCAUCACAUUAUCUGAACUUUCUGCUUUGUUUUGCAAGCAAGGAAAUCAAGGGCUUGGGGGGGGGGGGGGGGGAACCAUACCACAGCUCAGUGGCCUUAGGGCAGCAGGAUCUCUGACAUUGCUGCUGUGAGCAGUCUUUGGAAAUUUAGUCACCCCUGGAGGAUAGUACACCAGAAAGUCUGCGUUGGCAGCAACAAGCCGAUAGCCUUCACGUUUUCAUUGUAACUGUGUAACACAGUCUUGCAAAACUCUACUCAGCUAGGAAAAGUACAUAUUCUGGAAAUAUGAGCAAGACAGUGUUUUCAUUAUUAUGGUAAAAGACUGGCGAUUAGACUUUCGUAAUUGUAUAAGGCUGGUCUAAUACCAUCUAGUAUGCCUAGGACAUGAUCAAGUUAAGGUCUUCUCUUGGUAUGUUUCCUCUUUUAAUAAUAAUUUAAUGGCUGGAAUUUAUUUCAAAUCACCAUCUUUUAGAUCACAGGUUUUCAUGUCCAAGACUACUAUUGGAUAUGCCCUACUUGCUAACACUUAACUACUUAUCCAUACAUCCAUCUUGGUUACAUUAUAUUAGGGGUGCCCACAUUUUGCCUCAACAGAGGGUCACGUUAUCAACUUGCCAGGGGACAAAUGGCCCCACCGAGUUUACUAAAUAAUGAAGCAAAGUUCAGCCACUCUCAGACACUACUGAUGGUAGCAUGCAAUAUCCCAUCCUGAUCAAAGAGACUAAGCCACCACAUGGAUCAAUACACACUUUGGUUUAAUAAUUCAAUUCAGGACAGAACAUGGCAUGCUGAGCUGUAUAUUCUCUGCAGGCUACACUUCUGUACUGAAGACAAGGUCAGCUGUGGGUUAUAUUUUAAAACUCCAUGGGCUCUUUUGAGUGCCCCUCCAAUAGUUGCCAGGGACAAAUACCACAGCAGCAGAUCAAUUCUCCUCUGCCUUACCAGAGAAUCCACUGCAAUUGGCUUUGCAAAACUCAAAGGGUGAACAGAAAACAGUUUUAAUCUUAAAUGGAAGCAUAUUGCCAGUUUGUACUUAAAAUUUUAAAAGAGGAAGUAGGAUAGUCUUUUGAAAUAAAUAAAUCCUGCAAUUCUGUCCCUGCAGAAGAAACAUUUGGGUUGUCAACAUUUUGCAAUACUUUCUUUUCAGGACCUGUCACAGCUCUACUUAGUUUCUUUUUACAAAAAACAAAAACUCCUCUCUCCAAUAAAAGCUUGAAUAAAAGCUUUCCAACUGUGGGAAACGGGUCUUCUUCAUAUCUCAGCACUUUCCUCUCAGAGGCACUGCACAUGCUACACUACAAAAACAACAGGGAAACCAGUCACUCAUACACAACUGCCCACUCUUCCCCUACAUGCACCAAUUCUGACACAUGACCUAUAGUUAUCCAGGUUUUAUACCAGGCUCAUCACCAUGGUAUUCAAGCGCCAUAUUCCCUCAAAAGGGGGGAACAGUAAAAGGAAUUCUUCCAUCUUCUUAAAAAGAGACACUGUUCUCUUCAUGCAACUCCCUGCAGCACAGACCACAAACUUAUUUGGUUAUUACCACUUAUUCUACUGUACAAUCUUGCUAAUGCAAGUUAGUUACUAUUACAUGCAAAACAGUUAUUGCUACUAAAAUUCUAGUUUUAUUAAAUCUUUUUAUGGCUUUGUUUGCAUCAGGGAUAUUUCCCCCUACAUACUGUGCUAUUUUGCAUUCCAGUUUCAGAGGUAUUUUUUAUCAAUUGAUUCCCCCAAGCACUAAACUACUUGAUUCAAUGGUAUAGCUACUUUUGUUCAGAACUGAACUAGCUUUGAGCACAGUUCCCCAGAGCUCUACUGUAAACAGCCCACCUGCCCAAUAUACAUGGAGAGACGGAAUAUGCAGAGACUCUGUUUUUUAUUACAUAAUUAACUCUGCAAGAAUCACUGGUUUUGUAUCUCAAUACAUUUUGCCCAUUUAAUUAAUCUAGAUCAACUCAGAAACCCAAGCUACCCAUUUUUCCCAGGUGGCCAUUUACAGGCAGGUCUCAAGAAAAGAUGCAGUAUCCUCUCUUAGCUGACAGCAGCCUGUUAUUUUUAAAACAGAGGUGGGUGAAAAACAAUAGUGACAGAAAUUAAAAAGCUAUUCCAGGAAAUCAGAUAGAUAUGAUACACAGAUUGUUGCAAACCUGGGUUGGGAGUCAUUUCCAUCUCUUGCUUCAGUAGCCUAAACUGCCUGUUUGAGAAAGUGAUAAGUAAAGUUAAGAUUUUGUCACAGUUAUUUUUAGUAAAAGUCAGUGAUAGGUCACGGGCAAUAAAAAAAAUUCAGGGAAGCCCAUGAUCUGUUUCUGACUUUUACUAAAAUAAUGGGGAUGGGGGAACUGACCAGGAGACGACUGAAGCCCAAGCCCUGCAGUUGGAGGAGGGGGGAGCUCCAGCACCCACUGUGGUUGACAGCUCCAAGGCCCCUGCAGCUGCUGAUGGCUCCAGUGCCAGUGACUGAGAGCUCUGGGGCCCCCACCGUCCACAGCGGCUGACAGCUACAGGUCCCCUCUGCUCUCAAUGGCUCAGAGCUCCAAGGCCAGUGGCUCAGAGAUGCGGGACCCCCACUGCCUGCAGUGGCUGCCUG